GUUUGGGGGUUAUAACCCCCCCCCAUUGGGAUGUACUUUGAGCUCUAUACGCUUAACACCAUACCCCUCGGAGACCUUCCAGUAGUUGUAACCCCCCCCCCCUUUCCAGUAGUUGUAACCCCCCUUACGAGUAUGAGAUAAACCAAGGGGCAGUCGCUAUAGUUCUUAAUGUUUUUGACUGGAGUCGUUCUAGGAUCGCUAUGUUGCUGUCAGAUACUGUACCCCAGAGUUGUACGCCGUAUGUCCAAAUAGGCUUUAUGAUGGAACUGUAGACCAGGAGUUUAUUUUUUAAUGAUAGUGGUGAGUUACUUCCAAGUAGCCAGUAGUGUUUUUAAGUACAAUUCCUAGUUGUUUACGUUUAUUUCAGAUAUGUGUUUCCAAUUAGCCUUCUGUCUAGAUGCAAAGCUGCAUUUUUUACUAAAAAUAGACUGGAAAUAUGUAGAUACGUGCAGGGCCGUGCCGUGCUAUGAUGCGACGAGGCAGUCGCAUCAGGCGGCAUCACAAGGGGGCGACAUAAUGUCAGUAAAAUAAAAAAAAUGUCAGAUUGUGUGAAAAUGUCAGAAACUAUAGAAAAACGGAGUUACAGACAAUAUGGCUAAUGACCAAAUUAAAUAAAAAUUUAAUGAAAUUGGAGAAAAUCUUAAUACGUAUCUAUGUUCCGAAUUUCCAGGUGAAAAUGAAAUUCGAGCCAAAAGAAAAAAGCGUUUAUUUGAUUACGAAAAAUUUGUGGACGAGCUCCUUUGUUCAUCUAUAUAAUUUUAUUUUUAUUCAUAUUUUAGACAUUGCCGUUAAUUCUUUGAUUGAUCGAUUUUCGCUUCUAGAAACUCAUAAUAAAGAUUUUAAAUUUUUAUAUGAUAUUUUCAAAUUUACGGAAAUGGAUGAUAAAACACUAGAAAAAUAUUGUAUGAAACUUCAUUCAAUACUUUCAAUAGAAAAAGAAAGGGAAUCUGAUAUAGAGACAAACGAUCUUCUAGAAGAAUUGCGUGAUAUAUCCCAAAUGAUACCUUUAGAGGUUUUGAAAUAUUUCUGCUAAAAUGAUCUAAUUUCUUUAUACUCGACUGUAGUUGUAUCACUAAGAAUUUUAUCCUGUCUCGGUAGUUAGUGAAGAAAGAAGUUUUUCAAAAUUAAAUAUUAUUAAUAACUAUUUACGAAGCUCCAUAAGACAAACAGUACUAAAAAAUUUAGCACUUAUUUGAAUAAAGUUCUCACUAGCUGCUACACCUAUCUAUCCCCACUCGACUACACCAAUUGUAUUUAAUUUAAUUUAAAAAUCAAAUCUGAUUGACGAGUUUGUCAAAAUUAAAGUCAGAACGGUACAUACUUUAUUUAAUUUAAAGUAUGUUUUGUUUUUUUUAUUUAUUUAUUUUUUUUAUUCAUCUAGUUUCAUGUGUAGUGUGUGUGUUGAGUAAGUGUCUUGUUACUAUGCAAAGUCUACGUCAUUGUCCUUGCAAAGAGACGCUAAUUGUAUCCGAACGUCUGCGGUGCCUCCGGUGAGUACCGAUCCCACAAGGACAGAAACUAUCUUCAUUUAAUAAUUUAUAAUAAACGAAAAAUUUCUGACCCUGGUGAGAUUCGAACUCACGACCAUUCGGACCUUUCGAUCCAAAGGUAGGCGCUCUUACCACUGAGCCACAGGGGGUUGUUUUGUUUUAAAAUAAAAGUUUUCGUUCAUUUUGUAUAGUUUCAUUUAAACGGGUAGGCGCAAAUCUUGGUUUAAUGCUAUUUAAAUGCAUUCGUUUUUUUUUUCGAAUCCUGAGAAAACUAAUAAGUAUUUUUGAAAAAUUUAAACGCAGAAUGAAAGAUUACAUUACAUAUUACCGAGGGCCGAAAGUUACAGAGGUGAAAAAAAGAGAAAAUUUAGUCUGAAUAUUUCAUUAAAAAAACUUUUUGUUUUUUUUAAGGGAUUUUCUACUAAGCCCUCGGUAAUAAUGUAAUCUUUCAUUCUGCAUUUAAAUUUUUCAAAAAUAUUAAUUAGUUUUCUCAGGAUUCGAAAAAAAUGAAUGCAUUUAAAAAGCAUUGGAUUCCCUUAGACCCCUUAGGCGCAAAAAAUAAUUUGCGUCUACCCGUUAAUAAAAAUAAUAGUUAAGUCACAGAAUAACUAACCAUAAUAAUAAUAGUUAAGUUUCAAUAAUAUUUAAGGGGCGGUAUUUCGAAGACUUGGAUCAUAUUGAAAGGAUGUACCGCACGGCUCUGGAUACGUGUUGUUUUCUCGAGUGGAAUCACUCGAUAUUAAGAUAAGAUAAGAUAAACAAUUUUUCUAUGUUCGAUUCGAUAAAUUUCAGUCAAAAUAAUUAGUUCGUACAGUUUUGAUAGAGGCAUUAUUGAAGUAAUAGUUAAAAUGUUUUGCCAACAUUGUAAUCAAUGGUUUCCAAAUUAUAUGGAGCUGGGGCCUCACAUAAAAACCGAACAUCACGUCUGUAUAUAUUGUGGUAAAGACUAUAAAUCAAUUGAGAAACUACAUGAACAUAGUAAAUACAAACAUACAUUUCAAUGCGAAUUGUGUGAUAAAUGUUUUUCAUCCAUUAAGGAACUAGAUAUUCACGACAGAUGCGUACAUUCAAUUCAAUGUCCAAGUUGUGAUGAAUUAUUCUUCAGAAAAGAAGAUGAUCUACUUAACCAUAUGAAAAGCCGACAUCCUGAAUUUUGUUGCAAUACUUGUCGUAAAUCAUUUAAUUCCCAAGAGCUCAGAGAUUUUCACAUCCGACAGAAGCAUCAAACGUUCUUCCAAAUUAGGAAGAAGGCUGAGUAGAGGUGCAUAUAUUCAACAUUUGUAUUUUCUUAUUGUACGAUAUUUUACAAAAUAAGGAGUUGGAGGAAGAUAUAGCAGACACAAAUAUGUAAUUUAAAAAUGUCAUAAAGAUGUUAAAAAAGUGUAAAAAGGUAGAUUUUAAAUUUUGACACAGUUCUCUGUUUAGGCCAUUAAGUUACAAGUUUUUUAUACAGUGAUGAGCGCACUAAUAAUCGGCAAAAUAGCGCAAAAGAUGGAAAACAUAAUACAUUGCUAAACAAAAAGAGAUGAAACUAGUGGAGGUGGAAAUGAUCGUUAUAAACUUAUAAAUUAACAUUGCAUUACAUACUUUCCCACCUUUAGACGUUUGUGACAGAAGUAUUUUAUUAAAUUAUACUGUCACAGUGACAGUUGUCAAACUCCUCUCAUACGUCUAAAGGUGGGAAACUAUGUAAUGUAAUGUUAAGUUAUACGUUUAUAACGAUAAUUUCCAUCUCCACUAGUUUCAUCUCUUUUUGUUUCGCAAUGUAUUAUGUUUUCCACCUUUUAUGCUAUUUUGCCGGUUAUAAGCGUGUUCAUCACUAUAUACAUAGUCAUAAAAAUAUUACUUGAGUAUAACGUAGUUUUCAUAUCAUUAUCAUAUUAAAUGGAAAUAAAACACAAUUGUAAUAAAAGAAUUA